AUUCCAAUUCUGGCCAUGACACGGCAGUCAAAUAUGUAAAUUUUGCCUAGCAUUCUGAAACUGGUUAGAAUUUUGGGAUCCUGGUUUUUGUGACGUCGAGUGUUGAAAAAUGGAAAAUUGAUGGACAAAUUGAUUAUGUCGUGCUUUGGCAGUUUCUGCAACCAAUAAUGCAUGUUGGGCAAACAAUUGCAGAUAUUAGCCCCAUUAACUGCUCGCCUGGAAGUUUGUCUCAAAAGUGGAAAAUAGAAAUCAAUUAGGUCUGCGUCAGAGGAACUCAUAAAGGCAUUGGCAUAACAUCGGGCCAUGUGAAAAUUGUGUCAACCGAUGUCUAGGAAAAUUGCCUAACCUCCAAGGGUGCGGUGCGGCAUUAUCGCAAAAGGGCAGAGGAACUCGUUCGUUUUCCCUGGCCUUUUGUGUGCAUCGAAGUAAAAGUAAAGCAUAACACACAGGCGGGCACCAGCCAGAAAAUACGAGCUCCAGCUCCAUGCACAUGGCAACUGGCAGCACUGGGUGUCCCCCAGAUCCAAAUCCAAGUCCUUCUCGGCUCCUCCCGUUCGGAAUCCCUGCAUAAAUGUGGCUAAAAUGUAAUGCAAACAAUUGAAAACUGUCAAUGCGGGUGGCUUAAGCGGCACCAGAAGCAAAAGUAUUCCAUGUAACUCUUAUAGUAGUCACUUUCCUAGCCAAAAUUUAGCUACGGGAAUUAUAU
ensembl:ncRNA lncRNA:CR45423 long non-coding RNA:CR45423